AUGAGACAUAAACUUCUGUUUCCCCCUUUCUCUAUAGCGUUUCACGCUGCCGUCCCAAAAUCAACUUGUCCUCUCACUCCUCUUUGCCCGUCCUGUAACCGUCUAACCUUUAACUACAAUUCAGUUCUCACUCCUCCCUGCUUCUGCAUUCAUAUUAGCCAACACAUUGAAGUUUUAUUCUCUCCUUUAGCAAGGAGAAUUUCAAUUUUGGUGAACAUAACUUCAUUCCGACGUCUAGACGGUUCCUGUAGUCACCUAUCUUAUUCUGCCUCAGACCUUCAUGAUUGA